rnacentral:rRNA from 1 species
GAUGAACGCUGGCGGCGUGCCUAAUACAUGCAAGUCGAGCGAACAGAUGAGGAGCUUGCUCCUCUGACGUUAGCGGCGGACGGGUGAGUAACACGUGGAUAACCUACCUAUAAGACUGGGAUAACUUCGGGAAACCGGAGCUAAUACCGGAUAAUAUAUUGAACCGCAUGGUUCAAUAGUGAAAGACGGUUUUGCUGUCACUUAUAGAUGGAUCCGCGCCGCAUUAGCUAGUUGGUAAGGUAACGGCUUACCAAGGCAACGAUGCGUAGCCGACCUGAGAGGGUGAUCGGCCACACGGGAACUGAGACACGGUCCAGACUCCUACGGGAGGCAGCAGUAGGGAAUCUUCCGCAAUGGGCGAAAGACUGACGGAGCAACGCCGCGUGAGUGAUGAAGGUCUUCGGAUCGUAAAACUCUGUUAUUAGGGAAGAACAAAUGUGUAAGUAACUAUGCACGUCUUGACGGUACCUAAUCAGAAAGCCACGGCUAACUACGUG